rnacentral:lncRNA from 1 species
CUCUAAGCAGAUAUUCAGGUGAGAUUAUGAUAAACAUUCAUUUAGAAAUUUGAGAUCAAUCUUAGGAAAAAUAAAUCUCAGAACGACCAUUAUUUGGGUGCAUAACAUUCUUCUAAUCUUACAUAUAUCGAUCCUAGUUCUCAGGUUGGUUCUACACAGUAUUUAUUAUUGUUGUUUUCUCCAAAAAUUAGACAAUUCAAGGUGUAUGGCUAAGUAAUUUAGCCAAGGCUACUGACCAGGAAGUGUAGAUCCCAUGCUCUCUCAACUUCAUAAAAGUUUGUGAUAACAUAGCAUAGUUAAAGUCAUAGAUAAAGGAUAUUCCCAAGAGUAACAGUGGAGAAGGAGGAAGAUGGGAGAGCAGGUAAAAAGCACAAAAGGAGAAUGAGUAGGAAAUUUGUCCAGUGAUAGCCUAAACAGAGAUGGGUGUGUGUAUUUAUAUAACUGAAUCAGUUUACUAUACAGCAGAAAUUAACACAACAUUGUAAAUCAGCUAUACUUCAAUAGUAUUACAAUAAUAAUAAUCACAAAAAUCAUGAGAAUAUGUAAUCUUUAAUGACUAUUUCAUAGAAGAGACAGUAGUCGUAGGAAGAGCGGUGGAUAUUUAUUGAGGAUUUUACUACCCAUUUGGCACUGCUCUGAGGAGUUUACAGCCAUCAACAUCUAACACAAUGCCAUUGUGAGGGACAUACAUUUUACAAGUGAGAAAAUUGAUUCCCAGAAAGUUUAAGUGAGUUUCCCAAGGCAAACAAAAAUUUUUAAAAAUCAUGUAAAACAAACAAUCUGAUUAGUAGUUCUCUUCUCUUAAAAAAAAAAUCGUCAUCUUUCCAUGGAAGUUUCAUCUCUGCCUUUUUAUUCAAUUUUUGUUGCAUUGGUGGUUUCUAUCAACAUAUGUACAAACUGAUACAAAUUUGUAAGCGCAGAUAUUCCUAGAAUUAUUUUAAAUUAUACUUUAAAUUUUAGUCUAUUUUAUACAGGAUUUGUAAAGUAUUGGACAAUGGUUCUCAGCUCAGAAUGGGGUCAAAGCUUACAACCAAAAUUAAGAGUCCUGUCAUAUCCUUAAGAGGAUUUAAUUUUUUGAGAGAAUCAAGAUUUAGAGGAUUUGGGUUUGCAGACCAUUACAUAUUUGAAAUUUUACUUUCUUUUCUAAGAAUUAUCUCAAAUGAACAAUUUUGCUCCUAAUGAAAGUUAGAAUAGUGGCAAAUUGUCAUCUGAAUUGGAGUUACAUUAUAGAUAUAUCAAGGGGCAAGAGGCUGGGGUAAAAGUGGCGUGGACUUUGAGUUAGAAAACUCAUGAGUCUGACAAAGGUCAGUUGCAAGUUUUGCUUUUGCAGCUGUGUCUUGGGUCCCUGGGUUUAUGUCUGUGAUUCUUGGCAAAAGGAAGGUUAGGAAAGACAUAUCUCCCCAAGCCAGAUUCUCAUGAACAAAAUACAACAAUGCUGAAAAUGUUGGGAGUUCCUAUUGUGGCUUAGCAGUAAUGAACCCAACUAGUAUCCAUGAUAAUAAGGGUUUGAUCCCUGGCUUUGCUCAGUGGGUUAAGGAGCCAGCAUUGCUGUGAGCUGUGUUGUAGGUGUUACAGAUGCAGCUUGGAUCCUGGUUGCUAUGGUUGUGGUGUAAGCCGGCAGCUAUAGCUCUGAUUUGACCCUAGCCUGGGAACUUCCAUGUGCUGUGGGUGCUGCCUCAACAAACAAACAAACAAACAAACAAACAAACAAACAAAAGAAUGAAAUAGUUUUAGUAUCUCUGCUUGAAGUUUUGUUUUAGAGAAAAAAUUAAAAACAUUAAAGUUAUUUAGAAAAACAAGAUCACAAUGUCAUAAAUAAACACUUCAAAUUCUUUGGAAAUUUUUGUUUAAAUUUGGAUGUGCUUGUGACUGAUUCAAUCCAUGAAUCGUGGUAGAAAUGAUGUUAUAGAAUGUCUGAGACUAAUACGUCGAGGGCAAUGCAUUUUCCACCUGGUUCUCCUAGGGAGCCCACACAGAGAAAGCCUGCUGUCAUGUACAAAAUUAAAUAUUCUGAGAUGGCCAUGCUAUAAAGGACAUGUAUAGGUUUAGUUUAAGAAGAAAACACUGAGAUAGGAGUAAAUUGACCUGAGAUAUUUUGAAUAAAGUGGGUAAGAGUGAGAGGAGGCAGGGAAUGUCUUCAGAUAGCAGUGUAGUCCUUACAACUGUCAAUAGAGGGAAGGGAGGAAGAACUGAGUCCAUGCAGCUUCCAACCACUUGGAAGCUAUGAGAGACUUGACCACUCCCAUGGGAAUGGCCAGAGCAAAGGCUGCACAUUUAAAGAGCCCACAAAGGACAAGAACAAGUUGAGGUAGUACAAUCUCUGAGUUCCCACAUUGACUGGAAGGAACCUGGGGGAUGCGUGCUUUGGGGAAAAUUCGGGGGUGGAAGCAAAGAGGCACUGGCUAUCCAUCUGCUCUCAACAGCUGGUUCUUGUGAAGAACAUCCGAGUGGUAGUUUCCAUGACCUCCCACACUGGCACUCCAGUUGACAAUCACAAAUGAGCCCAGCCUUUCAGCCAUCUCCAACCAAAUACCAGAUAGGUUGGUUAAGAAGUUAACUUAGCAGUGGAUCCCUUUGCCAGAGAGGGACAUAAAUGCAUAUUUGUGGUGUGAUAAAAGCAGGUAUUGAGAUAUCCUUCAGGGAUCAUGGAACUCUGUGGCUCUUUAGGAAAGUAAAAAGCAGAUUUUCUAAAGGAUUCUGUGUCAGAGGUGAGAAUUACAUGGAUGGAGGGUGGUAGUUUGAGACAUUAGUUUGGAGGGUCAGAGACUGAGGUUUGAAGGAGAUUCCACAUAGCGGGAAAAUCAUUAACAAUGCAAAAGUGAAGGAAGGGGGUGAGUAAAAGUAAUGUCACUGCAGGUUCAAAUUUCUAACAGAAUGUUUUUGGAAAUGAAACGGAGAAUGAGACUUGGGCCAGAUAAUGUGGUCCUGUUACUUGCUGACCAUGUUCUACAGGCUGUGAUUGAUAGAUCACUGGAGAGUUAUAUGCAAAGGAAUAACAUUUAUAGGGUAAUAUUUUUUUUUUGUCUUUUGUCUUUUUAGGUCUGCACCCAGGCUAAGGGGUCAAAUCAGAGCUGUAGCUGCCAGCCUACACCACAGUCACAGCAAGUCAGGAUCUGAGCCACGUCUGUGACCUACACUACAGCUCAUGGAAAUGCCAGAUCCUUAACCCACUGAGAAAGGCCAGGGAUCAAACCUGAGUCCUCAUGAAUACUAGUCGGGUUCGUUAACCACUGAGCCAUGACAGGAACUCCAAGAGUAAUAUUUCUAGUUGCAUUGAGGGUGCAGAAGCAAGGCUGCAGGGCCAAUGCAGGGAGGCAUUUGACAGGUGGAUGCAAUAUUCUUGGAAAAGAAGAGAAUAGCAUAUCCUGAACCAGUGGGGUCAUGGGACAGAGCAUUAGAAAUCAACUGGAUAAAGUCUGUGAAAGUAAAUUCUGUAGGAUCUGAUAAAUUGCCUGAUAUGGUGUUGAAGGGGAGAAAAAGACACCAAAGAAUAGCUUCUCAGUUACUAGAAUUUGAUGACUUCCACUGUGGUCACUAAUAUGAGGUGAUCUUGUCCAUCCAGGGAUGAUCAUCACUGAAGCACUUGAACUUGUGAAUAUAAAUAUGUUUUAGGAGGAGGACUAAAGUCAUAAACAGAGGAUAUAUGUAAGAGAUAGAGUGAGCAGAGGACUGCACAUGAGUGGAGAACCCUUCAGCUGGUGGAAUAAAGGAUGUAGGAUGCAGAGGCACUUUGGGAUCACUCAAAAGUGGAAGGACGGGUAGAAGUCAGGGGAGAGUGAGUUUGUUGCUAACACCACAUCCAAGUCCAAAUUUCCAUCUGGGGUUAUUCUUUGGUCUCUGGUUGAAUGUACUACCACAAUUGACACUGUCACCUGAGGACUGACAUAACCAAAUAGCUGUUCAGCUGCUGUAUUAUGAAAUAGAAAACAGACAGACCAUGAGGCAGGCUAGAGGGAAACUGUGCUGGUUGCCAUGGUAUCUUCCAGUUGGAAUAUGCGUAUUGGGCAAUAGUAGAUGGUCCUUGCCUCUGAAUAGUAACCCCCAAAUCUUAAAAUAGGAAAUUAUAAGUGUAUUAGUAACACCCUUUUGAAAAAUAACAGGACCUACUCCACAAGAUAGGUAAAACUUAAUUGUUAUUGAUUAAUUAAAUACAACAUAGACCUUAAAUAAAGCAGUUAGGGAAAUGUUAUUAGUAGCUGAUUAAUGUCUACUAUGGAGGUAAACAUAAUUGUUUGGAUUGUAGUUUAGUAAGUCCUUGGGGACAGGAAAUAAGGACUGAAAGGAAUAUGGUCUCCAGGCAGGGUUAGCAUAAAAGAUUCUGACACGUAGACGCAGAUAAGACACAUACAGGAAGUUCUCAUGGUGGCUCAGUGGUCACAAACCUGACUAGUAUCCAUGAGGAUGUGGGUUCAAUCCUUGGGCCCACUCAGUGGGUUAAGGAUCCUGCUUUGCUGUGGCUGUGGCAUAGGCUGGCAGCUAUAGCUCUGAUUCAACCCCUAUCCUGGGAACUUCCAUAUGCCACAGGCGCAACCCUAAAAAAUAAAAAAGAGGAGUUCCUGUCGUGGUGCAGUGGUUAGCGAAUCCGACUAGGAACCAUGAGGUUGCAGGUAUGGUCCCUGGCCUUGUUCAGUGGGUUAAGGAUCUGGCUUUGCCAUGAGCUGUGGUGUAGGUUGCAGACGCAGCUCGGAUCCUGCGUAGCUGUGGCUCUGGUAUAGGCCGGUGGCUACAGCUCUGAUUCGACCCCUAGCCUGGGAAUCUCCAUAUGCCGUGGGAGCGGCCCUAGAAAAGGCAAAGAAGAAAAAAAAAAAAAAAAAA